GACGAACGCUGGCGGCGUGCCUAAUACAUGCAAGUUGAGCGAUGAAGAUUGGUGCUUGCACCAAUUUGAAGAGCAGCGAACGGGUGAGUAACGCGUGGGUAAUCUGCCUUUGAGCGGGGGACAACAUUUGGAAACGAAUGCUAAUACCGCAUAACAACUUUAAACAUAAGUUUUAAGUUUGAAAGAUGCAAUUGCAUCACUCAAAGAUGAUCCCGCGUUGUAUUAGCUAGUUGGUGAGGUAAAGGCUCACCAAGGCGAUGAUACAUAGCCGGCCUGAGAGGGUGAUCGGCCACAAUGGGACUGGGACACGGCCCAAGCUCCUACGGGAGGCAGCAGUAGGGAAUCUUCGGCAAUGGACGAAAGUCUGACCGAGCAACGCCGCGUGAGUGAAGAAGGUUUUCGGAUCGUAAAACUCUGUUGGUAGAGAAGAACGUUGGUGGGAGUGGAAAGCUCAUCAAGUGACGGUAACUACCCAGAAAGGGACGGCUAACUACGUG
rnacentral:rRNA from 1 species